rnacentral:misc_RNA from 1 species
AAGUCGUAACAAGGUUUCCGUAGGUGAACCGUGCGGAAGGAUCAUUGACGAACAACGGGGCCUCGCCCCUUGUCCACAAACACACCCCGUCGCACAUCGAGGCUCGUUGAGUGGGUGGCGACCGCCCAGGAUUCGUAGCCUCGCUUUCUUACACAAACUUCGGAAUGUAUAUCGGAAUGUCUUACGCGCUGUAACGCAUCGUAAUAUAA